rnacentral:tRNA from 1 species
AGCUUUCUAGCUGAUUAAAAGUGUUUACUUUGAAAGUAAAAGGAUAAGUUAUAAAAACUUAGAGAGCUU